GUAGUCCACGCUGUAAACGAUGAAUACUAGAUGUUGGCCGUUAAAGGUCAGUGUCGCAGCUAACGCAUUAAGUAUUCCGCCUGGGGAGUACGGUCGCAAGAUUAAAACUCAAAGGAAUUGACGGGGACCCGCACAAGCGGUGGAGUAUGUGGUUUAAUUCGAAGCAACGCGCAGAACCUUACCAGCUCUUGACAUGGGACGUAUAGGGAUCAGAGAUGAUUUCUUUCACUUCGGGUGGCGUCCGCACAGGUGCUGCAUGGCUGUCGUCAGCUCGUGUCGUGAGAUGUUGGGUUAAGUCCCGCAACGAGCGCAACCCUCAUCGUUAAUUGCCAUCAGGUAGGGCUGGGCACUUUAGCGAAACUGCCGGUGAUAAGCCGGA
rnacentral:rRNA from 1 species